CCUACGGGUGGCAGCAGUGGGGAAUAUUGGGCAAUGGGCGCAAGCCUGACCCAGCAACGCCGCGUGAAGGAAGAAGGCUUUCGGGUUGUAAACUUCUUUUCUCAGGGACGAAGAAAGUGACGGUACCUGAGGAAUAAGCCACGGCUAACUACGUGCCAGCAGCCGCGGUAAUACGUAGGUGGCAAGCGUUAUCCGGAUUUACUGGGUGUAAAGGGCGUGUAGGCGGGAAAGCAAGUCAGAUGUGAAAACCAUGGGCUCAACCUGUGGCCUGCAUUUGAAACUGUUUUUCUUGAGUACUGGAGAGGCAGACGGAAUUCCUCGUGUAGCGGUGAAAUGCGUAGAUAUGAGGAGGAACACCAGUGGCGAAGGCAGCAUACCGGCGCCCGACUGACGCUGAGGCACGAAAGCGUGGGUAUCGAACAGGAUUAGAUACCCUUGUAGUC
rnacentral:rRNA from 1 species